rnacentral:rRNA from 1 species
GACGAGCGCUGGCGGCGUGCUUAACACAUGCCAGUCGAACGGAAAGGCCCUGCUUGCAGGGUACUCGAGUGGCGAACGGGUGAGUAACACGUGGGUGAUCUGCCCUGCACUUCGGGAUAAGCCUGGGAAACUGGGUCUAAUACCGGAUAGGAGCCAUUUUUAGUGUGAUGGUUGGAAAGUUUUUUCGGUGUAGGAUGAGCUCGCGGCCUAUCAGCUUGUUGGUGGGGUAAUGGCCUACCAAGGCGGCGACGGGUAGCCGGCCUGAGAGGGUGGACGGCCACAUUGGGACUGAGAUACGGCCCAGACUCCUACGGGAGGCAGCAGUGGGGAAUAUUGCACAAUGGGCGCAAGCCUGAUGCAGCGACGCCGCGUGGGGGAUGACGGCCUUCGGGUUGGAAACUCCUUUCGCUAGGGACGAAGCUUUUUGUGACGGUACCUAGAGAAGAAGCACCGGCUAACUACGUG